NAGUAGUAAAAUUUCAUUGUUGCUACCAGUUUUUUAGCCUUUGGAUCAACUCUUUUCAUUAUUUCUAACCAUUGGAUUAAAUACUAUAACCCAGUGGGGACCACUCAACCCUGUUGGGACCACUCAACUCUAACCGACUAAUAUCAUCCUGACCCUACAAUUUUUCAUCUAAGGAUUAAAAACUUGAUAGCAAAAAGAGCGUUUUACUAUUAAUAGUAUUCCAGCCUAAUUCUAUAUAUAUAUAUAUAUAUAUAUAUAAGUGACGUGGAAAAGAUGCAGUAGUGUUCAAAUUUAGAAUCCUCCUAACGACCGUCUCUAGAGCAAGUGGCAAAAGACUUGGUGGUUGGUACUCAAAAUCCAAAUUCGAAUCCUAGUUAAUUCAUAUUUCCAGCUAAAUUUAUUUUUAAAUAAAAUAAACGAAGCGGGUAGCACGCAUGCUACCUAUCUCUCAAAAAAAAAAAAAAUUUAGAAUCCUCCUAUUCAUGUUUUCACUCAAUGCAUUCAGAUCUAUGAAGUAAAACCAUGCUAGUAAAUUAAUUAGUAAACGAUUUGAACGCAAUCAAGCUAAGCUCAAAUUGAGCAAGAACAAGGUCAAUCAAAUAUAUAUAUAUAUAUAUAGAGAGAGAGAGAGAGAGAGAGAGAGAGAGAGUAUGACUACUAUACUUUAAUUUAUGAGUAUAAAGUAUUUCAUUUUUAUAAGUUGUUUUUGAUGAUGGAGUUUCGGAAUCGACGAUCCACUCUGUUAAAUAUGAUCUAGAGUAUUUGAAACUUCUAAAAAAUAAAUUUCGUAAUUUUUUAAAAUCAUAAUAAAAUCCAUCAAGCGAGUAUAAAAUGAAUAGUCAAAAUCGAAUGGCGUCUCCUUUAAUUUAAAAUCGGAGUUAUUGAUCUUUAUGUAGGUAGUGAAUAUAAUUUUUUAUAAAAAAUUCAACCAAUUCCGAUUCUUUCACAUCGUUAAACUAGCAUACGGCUAUUAAAAAUUAUCAAUUUUGAGAUCUUUUGAUCAUAAGUUAAAUGAUGUCAAAAAUUAUAAAAUUUGAUUUUUAGAGAUUUUAAAUACUCCACAUAAUAUUUAACGGUAUGGACCGUUGAUUCGAAAACUCUGUCAUAGAAAAUGACUUAUGAGUAUAAGAACUCUCUAUUAUAUAUACAUAUGUACUUAAUCUAGAACAUAU
rnacentral:lncRNA from 1 species